ACAAUGGAGAGUUUGAUCCUGGCUCAGGAUGAACGCUAGCUACAGGUUUAACACAUGCAAGUCGAGGGGAAACGGCAUUGAGUGCUUGCACUCUUUGGACGUCGACCGGCGCACGGGUGAGUAACGCGUAUCCAACCUUCCCAUUACUGUGGGAUAACCUGCCGAAAGGCAGACUAAUACCGCAUGGUCUUCGAUGACGGCAUCAGAUUUGAAGUAAAGAUUUAUCGGUAAUGGAUGGGGAUGCGUCUGAUUAGCUUGUUGGCGGGGUAACGGCCCACCAAGGCUACGAUCAGUAGGGGUUCUGAGAGGAAGGUCCCCCACAUUGGAACUGAGACACGGUCCAAACUCCUACGGGAGGCAGCAGUGAGGAAUAUUGGUCAAUGGACGGAAGUCUGAACCAGCCAAGUAGCGUGCAGGAUGACGGCCCUAUGG
rnacentral:rRNA from 1 species